rnacentral:rRNA from 1 species
CAGUAGCCGCGGUAAUACGAAGGGUGCAAGCGUUACUCGGAAUUACUGGGCGUAAAGCGUGUGUAGGUGGUUGUUUAAGUCUGUCGUGAAAGCCCUGGGCUCAACCUGGGAAUUGCGAUGGAUACUGGGCGACUAGAGUGCGGUAGAGGAUAGUGGAAUUUCCGGUGUAGCAGUAAAAUGCGUAGAGAUCGGAAGGAACAUCUGUGGCGAAGGCGACUAUCUGGGCCAACACUGACACUGAGACACGAAAGCGUGGGGAGCAAACAGGAUUAGAUACCCCCGUAGUCCCUGUCUCUUAUAC